rnacentral:rRNA from 1 species
CAGCCGCCGCGGUAAUACGAAGGGUGCAAGCGUUAAUCGGAAUUACUGGGCGUAAAGCGUGCGUAGGCGGUGAGUUAAGUCUGCUGUGAAAUCCCCGGGCUCAACCUGGGAAUGGCAGUGGAUACUGGCUCGCUAGAGUGUGUCAGAGGAUGGUGGAAUUCCCGGUGUAGCGGUGAAAUGCGUAGAGAUCGGGAGGAACAUCAGUGGCGAAGGCGACUAUCUGGGCCAACACUGACACUGAGGCACGAAAGCGUGGGGAGCAAACAGGAUUAGAUACCCCUGUGGUCCCUGUCUCUUAUAC